rnacentral:rRNA from 1 species
GACGAACGCUGGCGGCGUGCUUAACACAUGCAAGUCGAACGGAAAGGCCCUGCUUUUGUGGGGUGCUCGAGUGGCGAACGGGUGAGUAACACGUGAGUAACCUGCCCUUGACUUUGGGAUAACUUCAGGAAACUGGGGCUAAUACCGGAUAGGAGCUCCUGCUGCAUGGUGGGGGUUGGAAAGUUUCGGCGGUUGGGGAUGGACUCGCGGCUUAUCAGCUUGUUGGUGGGGUAGUGGCUUACCAAGGCUGUGACGGGUAGCCGGCCUGAGAGGGUGACCGGCCACAUUGGGACUGAGGUACGGCGCAGACUCCUACGGGAGACAGCAGUGGGGAAUAUUGCACAAUGGGCGGAAGCCUGAUGCAACAACGCCGCGUGCGGGAUGACCGCCUUCGGGUUGUAAACCGCUUUCGCCUGUGACGAAGCGUGAGUGACGGUAAUGGGUAAAGAAGCACCGGCUAACUACGUG